GUGCUUGCUUCGGCAGCACCUGUACUAAAAUCGGCACGAUACAGAGAAGAUUAACAUGGCCCCUGUGUGAGGAUGACAUGCAAAUUUGUGAAGCAUUCCAUAUUAAA
rnacentral:snRNA from 1 species